CGGCGGACGGGUGAGUAACACGCGGAUAACCUACCUAUAAGACUGGGAUAACUUCGGGAAACCGGAGCUAAUACCGGAUAAUAUUUUGAACCGCAUGGUUCAAAAGUAAAAGACGGUCUUGCUGUCACUUAUAGAUGGAUCCGCGCUGCAUUAGCUAGUUGGUAAGGUAACGGCUUACCAAGGCAACGAUGCAUAGCCGACCUGAGAGGGUGAUCGGCCACACUGGAACUGAGACACGGUCCAG
rnacentral:rRNA from 1 species